GACGAACCGUGCAAACGUUGUUCGGAAUCACUGGGCUUAAAGGGCGCGUAGGCGGGCCAGCCAGUCCGGGGUGAAAGCUUUCGGCUUAACCGGAAAAGUGCCUUGGAUACUGCUGGUCUGGAGGGAGGUAGGGGCCGUGGGAACUUCCGGUGGAGCGGUGAAAUGCGUUGAUAUCGGAAGGAACGCCGGUGGCGAAAGCGCACGGCUGGACCUCUUCUGACGCUGAGGCGCGAAAGCCAGGGGAGCGAACGGG
rnacentral:rRNA from 1 species